rnacentral:rRNA from 2 species
AAUCCAUAGGUUAAUGAGGCGAACCGGGGGAACUGAAACAUCUAAGUACCCCGAGGAAAAGAAAUCAACCGAGAUUCCCCCAGUAGCGGCGAGCGAACGGGGAGGAGCCCAGAGCCUGAAUCAGCAUGUGUGUUAGUGGAAGCGUCUGGAAAGGCGCGCGAUACAGGGUGACAGCCCCGUACACAAAAGCGCAUGUGCUGUGAGCUCGAUGAGUAGGGCGGGACACGUGGUAUCCUGUCUGAAUAUGGGGGGACCAUCCUCCAAGGCUAAAUACUCCUGACUGACCGAUAGUGAACCAGUACCGUGAGGGAAAGGCGAAAAGAACCCCGGCGAGGGGAGUGAAAAAGAACCUGAAACCGUGUACGUACAAGCAGUGGGAGCCCCACCACCAAAGCAUUUGCUGUACCGCGUUG